UUUUCACUUACAUCUAGCAAAAAUUCGAACUCAACGAAACAUCCUUCAUUCUCCGAACUUUGCCCCAAGCGACUGAGAAGCAUCGACGCAGGAGGCUAAUUACUAGCUGUUCUUCACCGUGUUCAGUGAAACUCCUAAUGCUAAUAUUGCUGCAAAUAAUAGCAAUAAUCAUAGUAAGAGCAUUAACCUCAAUUUCAAAACUACAAAGGGAACUAUGGUCGUGGCAAAGGCAGGGGCGUGGCAAUCAGCUUGGAUGAGGACAAGGACGAGGCAAAGGAUCAUAUGGGGAUAACUUUAAUCAGAGGACCUAAUAGAGAUGGACUCUAUCAGUUUCCAGGCACUAAUGGUGAUAGAGAGAAUUUAGCCGAAGUUUUUGUUGGAGAAAGAGAUUCUCUUCAGAAUUGGCAUCAUCGACUUGGACAUGAUUCUUUAAAAAUUGUUAAAUUAAUAAUUUCUAAAUUUGAUUUGCCCUAUUUUGGGAAUGUCAGUGACAAUUUUGUUUGCGAGGCUUGUCAAUUAGGCAAAGCCUAUCGUUUAAGUUUGUUUGUUUCUUCUAGUAGUGUUUCACAACCUUUGGAAUUCGUUUAUUCAAAUGUGUGGGGACUUGCUGUGGUCUUGUCUACAAAAGGUUAUAGAUAUUAUGUCUUGUUUAUGGAUGCAUAUUCGAAAUUUUCUUGGAUUUA